rnacentral:rRNA from 1 species
AGAGUUUGAUCCUGGCUCAGGACGAACGCUGGCGGCGCGCCUAACACAUGCAAGUCGAACGAGCGAGAGAGAGCUUGCUUUCUCGAGCGAGUGGCGAACGGGUGAGUAACGCGUGAGGAACCUGCCUCAAAGAGGGGGACAACAGUUGGAAACGACUGCUAAUACCGCAUAAGCCCACGACCCGGCAUCGGGUAGAGGGAAAAGGAGAAAUCCGCUUUGAGAUGGCCUCGCGUCCGAUUAGCUAGUUGGUGAGGUAACGGCCCACCAAGGCGACGAUCGGUAGCCGGACUGAGAGGUUGAACGGCCCACAUUGGGACUGAGACACGGUCCAAACUCCUACGGGAGGCAGCA